rnacentral:lncRNA from 1 species
GAUCUCCGGCGUCGCGGGCAAGCGCGGGCUCCAGACUAAGCGCGGUGGCGGCGCCCGGACGCGGGCGGGGCGGGCGCGCAGGGCAAAGCGGCUGCCGAGCGAGUUGUGCGAGGGCAAAAAUAGCAGUCGUCCCCGGUUUGGUGCCUUUGCCUCUGAGAGUCAGGAACUGCUGUGCUCCCUCGCAGAAAAUGUAGCCGUGCCUUUCAAGUUUUUUGUUCUGACCAGUAAAUAGCCCGUUACCUUCCAUAACGUUUACUUGGAGCUCGAGAUAUAUUCUUACUAGUUGGCUUUGGCAUAUUUCGGGAAGUUGUGUUCUUCUUGUCCCGGAUAAUGUUGCAGUUCUUCUUUCAGUUAGGCACAGAAAGAGGCAUACCAUUAACAUGCAUAGAAAUCCGUUUUUCUGGACUUCUGAAGCCCUAGACCAACUGCAGCUGAAGCACGCUUUUGAUGAAAAUAAGAAUCACAGUAAUCAGAGAGUCACACUGAGCCUAGCCUUCUGUCUCAAGCAUUCCACUGAAAUUAAAGAAGACCUAAGCAAACCCACGUAAAGCUCACGGGGUAUGAGCUCAUAUAGGUGUAGCUGGGCACAGUUGGGAGUGUACACAGACUAGGAUCACCAAAAGGGAAACUCAUUUGCUUGACUGAUUGAUGUAGGAGGUGAAAGUGAUCCAACCUUUGGAGCUGACAGCUGAAAAUCUCCAUCAGGUACCUUCAGACUGACUAAAUUUGAGCUUGAAAACAGGUGCAAGAGCACUCUGACACUGUG